rnacentral:rRNA from 1 species
UACGGAGGGUGCAAGCGUUAUCCGGAUUUACUGGGUUUAAAGGGUGUGUAGGCGGACUUUUAAGUCCGUGGUGAAAUCUCCGGGCUCAACCCGGAAACUGCCAUGGAUACUAUUUGUCUUGAAUAUUGUGGAGGUGAGCGGAAUAUGUCAUGUAGCGGUGAAAUGCUUAGAUAUGACAUAGAACACCAAUUGCGAAGGCAGCUCACUACACAGUCAUUGACGCUGAGGCACGAAAGCGUGGGGAUCAAACAGG